rnacentral:pre_miRNA from 1 species
UGGGUCUUAGAGGUGCAGUGGGUGGAAGUCUCUUUGACAAGUCUACUGGCCUGUUAAGUCCCAAG